CGGAAGUGGCUGGACCGCGGCGUUUGGGGGUUCAGGAAGGCACUUGGGGAACACUUCAGGGUCCGAGCCGCGAAUUGAGGUCCUCGGGGGAACGUAAAUGCUUCGGCUUUUUCAUCCAAUGAAGAAGAGCUCUACCAUUUCUGAAACCACCCUUCAAAGCACUCUCAGGCUACUCCUGUUCUGUCAUCAGUCUUCACACCACUGAGCCCUGGGCCAUCAGUCUCUGGGUCAUGUGCUUGAGGCCUCCCAAUCCCAUCUUGGAAGAUUUUUGUGUCCUUUCAAGGUCUUUUCAGAUUAAAACAUUGUGGUCAUAAUCCAAUAAAAAUUGAAAUAUUUUUAUAGGCCUGUAGUGGCAGAGAAAGGGACAUAGCCUUUAGAAUGCUCAAGGGUAUUUUUAGAUUUGAUAUAAGAAAGAAAUAUUUUGUGAUAAGGUUGAGAAUUUGUAAACAGGUCAUCCAUAGACAUGAAUACCCCAUUCCAAAACAUGUUCAAGGUCAGGAUCUUUAACCAUCUGUUCCAGUGGUAGUUGUGCCUUGCCACAGAAACGGGGCUGCAGUAGAUGAUAUUUUAAUGCCAUUCCAAUUUGAAAAACAGAAGAUAAAAAACAAAUUUAUGAAAGUUCUGACACCUCCUCAUGAAAGACUCACCAAGGGGGUCAAUGGCAGAGCUUUCCAGCAUGACCUUGCCAGUUGAGCAUGGGGGGUUCUGCAUUGGGUCUGAGAUUCAUGACGGAAAUCCACAAGGGGCAUUUGGGGAAUGUGCAGCAUUUCCCAUGUGAUGCCUAAGAAAGGCCCACAGGAAGGGAAAGGGUGGCACCAUGGUGCUUUGUGAAAGAACAAACAUGAAUCAGCAGGGAAAAGGGGAUGAAAGAGCUGGUCAUGAGCAAACGUGCAUCCCUGGCUACGCCCUACAGCUGAUCCCCACAGCCUGUGGCAUUUUCCUAAACCCCCAUUGCCAGGAACUGUCUGGAACAAGGGAGCUCUCUCUGCGCUGGGUACCAAGGGAUGUCCAAGUGCCAGAUACUGGAGUGGGGACCACAAAUCAUCAGGUCCUGUGUCCUUUGGGGGCCCAGGCACUGGUGAAACUGGUGUGUGUGUGCACACAGCACUGGUGUGGGGGGCUGGUGUAACCACCAGGGAACAUCAAACCAGAGCAACCAGUGAGCAGCAGAGGCCUGAGAGAUGCUGUGUGAGAUCCACUCCUGCAGGGAUCCACAUGGUCUGGGUGUCUCUGCAGCUCUGCCUCUCCUCCUGCCAUGGUGGAGCACACAAACAGCCCAUCCCUGUGUCUCUUCUCCACUGACUGUGCUUUGGCCUUGCCUGGAAACUACCCGAGGUCUCUCCCAGGAGGAGUCCCUGUGCAUUUCCCUCCCCCAUGCCUCUGCCCUUCCUGAUCCAGCAGUGGUGGGGCAGGGAGAGGGCUGGCUCUGACAGGGCUGUUGUGGUUUAGGAAUGGUGCUCUCCAAUUUCCUACUCCCACUACAAAGACCACGUGUCUCCCCAGAUUGAUAUUCCCACCAUUGUCCCCACACCACAGGGGCUUUGCCUGCCUGGCCCUGCUUGAUCUCAGACACGUUUCACAGUCAGGGAUAACCUGGAGAUGGUGUCCAUGGUUAAACCUACCCCUUGCUCAUGAGCCCAUCUGGAGGUUGCAUCUCUGCUCUGAUGACCUGAGGUGUCCAGAAAUAACUCACCCUUGUGUGGCCAGUCCAGACCCAGCUGAGACACUUUAAUCCUGGCAGCCCCAUCCUCCUCUCUGUUGUUUCGAUGCUCUUCAGUGCCUGACUCUUGGGCAAUGAGCAUCCAUAGGAGGGACUUUCACAGCCAACAUCUCCCCUGGGCAACGAUGUCUUGCCCUGGUCCAGCAGCCCAGAUGGGUUUCCCUCUGCACUGCCAAUUGUCCCUUUUCCAUCAUUCCAGCCACCCCACAGAGCAUUUCCCACCAUCCCUGAGUCAGUGCAGAGGUGCAGCGCUGGCCAUUUCUCUCCCUCAGAGCUGCGGGUAUGGUCCCAGUGCUGCAGUGACUGCAGGAAAGAGGACCCCACAAUAGGUCAUUUGUUGGUCAAAUACAGACAGAAAGAGUGAGAAACUGUCUGUGACUUGGGUUUUGGCCUCGCAGCCCCUGCCGUGGUUUGCAGGGAGCUGCAGUGUGGCACAGCCCUGGCUGUGCCCUGCAGUGCUGGCCUGGGAGAAGGUGUCGGUGCCAGCUGGCGCAGGGAGCUGCAGCGUGUGGGGAACGAAUCCCUCCUGGCCUCCUGCCCCCGGGUGACACUGCAGGGCCUCAUGGAGCCAAGGGGCCAUUGCAGCACUUCAGGGCCCCAUGGAAUUAAGGGGACUGUUUGGACAUUGCAGGGUCUUGUGGGACUGAGGCCAUUGUGACACAUCAGAACCAAAGGGCAGUUGUGAAACUACGGGGCCUUGUGGAACUGAUACUGAAAUUGUCCAAAUAGAAACUUUCUAACACAGUUUGGGUAUUAGAAAGCAGCCAUUCUUUAUGCAGUGCUGGUCACUUGGGGGAUCAUUCAUCCAUGUGAGUGCCCCAAACAUCAAGUAAGCAAAGGUCUUAUCACACACAGUGAUUACAUAUUCACAAGCUCUUCCUCUGUGGUGGCCUGUAGGUCUCACAGUAUAAAUAAUUCCAACUUUAUAACUGAAAUAUGUGAUUGAUUUUGUAAUUACCUUACUUACGUAAUUUGACCAGUAAGAGCAGGCCAGGCUGUUGGGGACUCAGGCUGCUGUUGGCUGGUUAGCCGAAUAGUAACUGGCUCAGCCCAUGAGGAUUAACUUCAUGGGCUUUCUUAUCUAUAUAAGGAAGUGAGCUGGCUGUUGCUGCAUGAACACGGAGUGUCAAGUCACCCGUCUCCGAAACUGAAACCAUUGGUGACCCCGAUGUGAUCACGACAGCUUCCACCAAUAGCACAGGGAACAGGCGGGGCAGCCAAGAGGAGCUGCCCACAGCUUUGAACUGUGAAAAGUGGCGUCCAGUGCUGCGGGGCAACCAGGAGGAGUUGCCUUUGCAGGCUUUACAGCCUUUGAGCUGCAAAGAAUGGUGUAGAGAGCCGUGAUCAGUCUGGAUCCUCCCCUUUUUUCCCCUCUUAUUCUUUUUCUUUUUGUAAGUGGAAGACACCACCAGCAUGGGAGCAGAGGCUUUGACAACAGAGGACCCCCUCCUGCAGGAUCCUUGUGGGUACCUGCUAAAUGGACCCGAGCAGCUGUGUUAGAUGGAACCGGACCCCAGACAACUGAGCGAGGAGGACCGUCAGCGAGUGGAGGCAAAGCUGCUGAUCACAAAUCAACCGAUACUUCUCAAGCUGAAGGACAGUGUAGCUUUGCCAUUGACCGAGCGACUGAUCGGUGUCAAUCUCUGGACAGUAUACUAAGCCUGAUUCCAGCGCUUCAUAUGUUUUAUCAUAGAGGGCCUAAGAGAUUAGCUUGUAUUAAGUGUCAAAAUACUCAGUGUGCUGCAUGGAUAUUGUUCUUUUGAGGGGGGUGUCAGCAAACUAAGUGGGUGCAUCAGUCACAGUUACCUGAGCUGUGGUGCAGAAGCUGUGCAUUUUAUUGGCAGCGGGAUUCCUGGCAAGCAGAACUCCAGACCUUUACAGGGUUACCUGGCCGCCAAGGGUUACAGUUAUAUGAGUCCCCAGAACAGAAAAUUCUCGCAUGGUUUAGGUGGGAAACCCAGCACUUUGCCAGACGCGCUUUAGGGCAAUCUCAGUCGUGUAUCUUACAGUCUUAAGUGUGGUCGGGGUAUUCCCCUCUCCCAGCUAGAUGUAGUAGGUCCGAUUCUGAGGGAUCAAGAUCCUAACCAAGCGUGGGACGAUUGUUUAAGGGCUCUAAAAAGAUUAAGUCUGGGCAGCUCAAGAAAGAAAAGGGGGAGAGGAAAGAAGAGACAUUCUUAAUUUCCCAAAUGUCUGGAUGGUUCAAAACAGCGCCCAGGAAAAUCAGGGUGAUGUGGCAGACUUAUGCUGCUGUUUUACUCGUAUUUGCCCUCUUAAUAGACAGCCCAGACAUUGCCAAAGGAGUGGGAACCCACCAAGCAUGGGCCCCACCUCAGCCCAAGACUAAUAUUUAGAUCACCAUGGCAAAUUUAACUAACCAGGAGGCUAUUUGCUUGUCAUUAUCUUCUCCCGGUAAUCCAUUUACAACCUGUUUGGUUGGGCUACCGGCAGAUCCCUGGCCAUGCCCAUCAAAAAUACCCACCUGCAAAACCAAUGACGCCAGGGUCAAUGUAGAUAACUGGGACCAAUGGAUUUCUCAUUUUCCUAUAGCACCGCAGGAACCCCAAGAAUUGGAACUGUUAGGCUCAGUGAUGGCGGAUGCAUGCCUUAGGUUUAAGCAUAAAAGUCAGCUGCCAGCCAAAAACUAUUCUACUAUUGUAACCUCCAGCAUGGCCAUUUACCAUAAUGCAACAACCUGGUGCAAUUAUACCACAAAGAGGGUGUCGAUCUCAUCAAAUGACCCUAUUCAAUUACCAGCAGGUUACUUUUUAAUAUGUGGGGAUCGUGCUUGGCCCGGUGUCCCAUCGCUGCUGAGCGGGGGGCCAUGUACAAUUGGUCGCUUGUCUCUACUCACACCCAAUACGUCAAUGAUCCUUAAUAUGAGCCGCUGCUAUCACAGAAUUAAAAGAAUGGCCCAUGCGUUUGCUGCUGACUGCAAAGAUGAUGUAAAAUUUUGGUCCCCAGGGGCCAUAGUGGCAGCAUCCUUUUUAGCUCCAGGGGUAUCAGCAGCAGGUGCCCAUGCCAUUUUAAACAAGCUAGGAUGCUGGCUUGCUAAACAAACUAAUGCCACCUCUUUAGCACUUUCUAGCCUUUUGCUUGAUGUUGAUUCUAUUCGCCAUGCAACACUUCAGAAUAGAGCUGCAAUUGAUUUCCUUUUACUGGCACAAGGCCAUGGUUGUGAAGAAUUUGAGGGCAUAUGUUGCAUGAACCUCUCUGAUCAUUCCCAGUCCAUUCACUCCCAGCUCUCUGAGCUGCGAAGGUUAACUGGAAAUUUACAGGUAGAAUCAGGCUCUGGUAUUGAUAAGUGGCUCAAAUCUUUAGGCUUGGGAUCAUGGUUGCGCUCUGUUGUUAGAGUCAUCAUUAUAGUAGGCAUUAUAGCUUUGUUAGUAGUGUUAGUUUUGCCUUGUUUUUGCAUGUGCUUACAGAACAUGGUUCAAAGAAUGAUAUCUGCUGCAUCUAAUCAGACUAUGCUUGUGCAACAGAAAAACAGGGGAAGUGUGGAGGAUUUUGUCAACAGCUGGCUAGCUAACAAAGGUCACACUGACAUAAUACCGCUAAUUAAGCAAGAAGGAGAUGAGGAUAGGAGUCAGCAGUCAGUGUCCAAACCUGGCAAGGGCACUGUGCCCUUGGUGCAACAACAGGAUGGGGGAGAGGAUCGUUAGUUAGAAACAUGAAGAAAAUAUGUGAACAGCUGCAGCAUAGUAGCCUCAAGAAUGCUAAGGUAGGCGUAGUUAGCUGAUAAGUAACUAACCAGUAAUGAGCUCGCUUUUUGCAAUAUGUAUUAGCCGCAUUAACACCAAUAUAAAUGUAUGUGCCUAUCAAUAAAGUUUUGAGAUUUGCUGAUCA